UACGGGGGGGGCAAGCGUUGUUCGGAAUUACUGGGCGUAAAGGGCUCGUAGGUGGCCAAUUAAGUCAGACGUGAAAUCCCCAGGCUCAACCUGGGAACUGCGUCUGAUACUGGUUGGCUUGAAUUCGGGAGAGGGAUGCAGAAUUCCAGGUGUAGCGGUGAAAUGCGUAGAUAUCUGGAGGAAUACCGGUGGCGAAGGCGGCAUCCUGGACCGAGAUUGACACUGAGGAGCGAAAGCCAGGGGAGCAAACGGG
rnacentral:rRNA from 1 species